UAUGUAUAUAUAUAUAUAUAUAUAUAUAUAUAUAUAUAUAUAUAUAUAAUAUACAUACACACACACGUAGAUAUUAGAGAUGGCACGAUACCACUUUUUUAUGUCCGAUACCGAUACCGAUAUCAUAAAUUUGGAUAUCUGCCGAUACCGAUAUGAAUCCGAUAUAGUGUUUUUUAAUCAACAAAACUGUUUUUUAAAAUAUCUUGCUGCAUUUUGCAAGUCUGCAAGUUCAUACUCAAGUUUAAAACAACAACUACACUAAAGCUAUUCUGUUAUACCUGUAUACAAAAAAAAUAUUUCAUAGUUCAGCAAUACUGAUCAAUCUAAUAAACUUAGACCUACACCAUCCUCCCUAUUCUGGUUUUUUAAAGAGUACUUAGCAUAAAUAUUAAGCAACCUAACUAAUAGGGUUCCAACUCCCAGCAACAACAAAAAUAAAUAAAUAAAAAAUAGGGAACCACCCCUCACGCUCCACCUCAUGAUGCUUAAUCGACGUAAUCAACCUUAAUUUGAUGCAGUGUGAAAAAAAAUGCACAGAAAUCAAUUAUUUUUCAAGAAAUAUUAAAUAGAUUCAACAUCUUUCUUCAACAAAAUUGCAGACUGCACAGAUGGUACCUUCCCAAAGGAAAAAGUACUAUAGCUUACUAGGGUAUAUAUAUAUUAGACUUAAUAGUCACUAUAUACAGUAAUUGACUUCUAUUCAUUUUACAUCAAAUUAAAACUUUGGCUGUCAGAUAAUUAUUUAUUAAAAGCUCGACAUUUUAAAUGAGAAUAAGAAAGAAAAGUAUGUCUUUGUGCCCCCUUUUCCCUGUUCAUGCCCUAUCGGCCCCCCUGGCUAAACUUUGCUAGAUCCGCCCCUGCACAGUUACCAGCCGUCAGCUACGUAGAAAAAGAUCCUGGUGUAGAAAGUAAUAUUAAAUAAAUUCUAACAACAGCUGAUCAAGCUUAAACGUGCUGCUGUUGUUCAGCUGCUGGUUUCCUCUUUCUGGUGCAAAGUGGGCCAAAAACAAAGAUGGACUCAGGACAGAAAAGCCGAUCAGCUGAUCAUUUAAGCAGUUUCACGAUUGAAGUAGCAGCCGGAGAGCAAGAGGCAGUCGCUCGUUAAGCUUAAAGCAGGAAUGCUUUACAAACAUUCAGAGAUGGACUUACACACUUGCUUUACUUCUCUCGGGGAUAACUUUGUCGGAGAUGAAAUGCCGGGUUGCUAGCGAAGCUCCACAUGCUAUCCAGAUCACCGAGGUGAGUUACGGCGUGUUGCAAGUUUGUGAGGUGCUUUCGUGAUAUUUAAUGGAUCGGAUUACAUUUUUUAUUUUUCUCCGAUAUCCGAUCCAGUCAUUUAGGUCAGUAUCGGACCGAUACCGAUACGUAAUAUCGGAUCGGUCCAUCUCUAGUAGAUAUACAUAUUUAGUAUACACAUUCAGUAAUGCGCAUACACUCUUAUAUUGUACAUAUAUUUAUUCAUAUAAUUCACAGAUUUACCCAUUCUUAUAUUUUGCUUGUUCUUAUGUUAUUGUAUUUUUACACACCUCUGUUGCUUGUGAAGCUUGCACACAAGAAUUUCACUCGCAUGUACUGUACCAGUGUACCUGCACAUGUGAUGUGACAAUAAAAGUGAUUUGAUUUGGAAUUUUCCAUGACGAGUAACAAUGACAACUAGAAAGUGCAUUUUCUGAAGAAACUGCAGUGUGAAUGCUUGAAUCUGAAUGUAUGCACUGAAAUGAAUUAAUUGCUGAAUUUUGAGUUAAAAAUAUUGAAUGAGAUUAAAAAAAACCCCAAAAAAACCCGAAUUUAACCUGAAAACAAAGGUGCUGAACUGCUAAAAGCUGAACGUUACACAGAAGAAGGAGUUGGAAAAAAACUGAAAAUGUUUUAAAUGUAAAUUAGAAAACCUAAGAAAUGAGAAAAGAACAUUUAGAGUCAGAAAACAUCUGAAUGAAUAUUAAAAGGUCAUAUUCUUUGAAUCACUGAAUGACUAAAAUGUGAUCCCUCCACUUGGACCCACACAGUUUAAAAAGUUUACAUCUCUGAGCUUUGAAAGACAAGAUGUUGGAAAAAGAACAACGAUGGUGACGUUUUGAGGGUAAAAUGAUGGCUUUAACACUGUGGACACAGCAGCAGUUGAAAGAGAAGUGUUUAAGAUGAAUCUUGGCAGAGAGAGAGAGAGAGAGCUCGUUAAGCAGGCAGGUGUGAGCCUGGUUGCUAUAGUGACCACACCCAAGGGCUCCAUACACACGUACACAGACAUGCGCCUCACUUUUGCUGCUUAAAAUGAACAGAAAAGUCAGGCCGAAACAAAUCGUUCCCAUAUGAAAAGUACAAGUCGUAUUGACAAACUUCUUUCACCGUGAGCGACAGCAAUGUCUAGUCUACUGAAUUCUCAGUUUUCAUGCCUGUGGAGCUUAUUAUAUGGACGUGGUGACAGUGGAAAGACACCAUGCUCUUCUGAUUUUCAAAAGAACCUUCUGAGCCAUUUUAACAUUAGAGUCUAUGGAAGAGUUGGAGGGAGGAGGCUGUGCAUUGGUGACAUUUAUGAAAGAACCAUAACACCUAGGACAAUAGUAAACACAUUGGAUGAAAGAGGACAGCGAUGGCUACGUUUUGAGGGUAAAAUGGUGGCUGUAGAGCAAACGCUGUGGACACAGCAGCAGUUUUAAAAAAUAUUUUAAGAUUAAUUUUUUUGCUCCUCUCACUCUAGCAGUUGAGCUCUCUCACUCUAGCCCCAACAUUCCGUCCCAUACACACCCAUUAUAAACUCUGAAACGGGUGAAAAAACAUCAUGAAACUUAAACUGGAACUGAAGAAAAAGUAUAAUAGAUAUUGAAAAGAUAAAUACAAGUUGAAUAGUUGAAUGUCUUGUCUUCGUUUUAAAGUUUGAAUGGUGGCUCUAUGUCAAUGUAUGUGGAAGUAGUAAGAGUUUAAAAAUGAGUAAGUUGAAUGAGGAUUUGAAGGGUCUCCCCAUUGAAAUACAUUAUAAAUUUUUCUUGAAUAAAGUUGAAUAAAAUUAAAAAUAUAAAUGUUAAAAAUAUGAAAAAUAGAAGCAGUGUUGUCCAAAAGAAUAGGAAUCUAACGGUGUUUGAAUGGUUUUUCUAAGUUGAACGGUUUUGAAGGAGUAGGAUUACAAAAAACGUACGGAAGAAUAAUAAAAUAUAAUAAUAAUAAUAAAGAUUCGAAUAACAAUACUGUGAAUGCUUUUCAAGCAUUCACACUAACUAGAAAGUGCAUUUUCUGAAGAAACUGCAGUGUGAAUGCUUGAAUCUGAAUGUAUGCAUUGAAAUGAAAUAAUUACUGAAUUUAAGUUAAAAAUUUUGAAUGAGAUUAAAAAAAAACCCCGAAUUUAACCUGAAAACAAAAGUGCUGAACUGCUAAAAGCUGAAGGUUACACAGAAGAAGAAGUUGGAAAAAAGCUGAAAAUGUUUUAAUUGUAAAUGAGAAAAACCUAAGAAAUGAGAAAAGAACAUUUAGAGUCAGAAAACAUCUGAAAGAAUAUUAAAAGGUCAUAUUCUUUGAAUCACUGAAUGACUAAAAUGUGAUCCCUCCACUUGGACCCACACAGUUUAAAAAGUUUACAUCUCUGAGCUUUGAAAGACAAGAUGUUGGAAAAAGAACAACGAUGGCGACGUUUUGAGGGUAAAAUGAUGGCUUUAACACUGUGGACACAGCAGCAGUUGAAAGAGAAGUGUUUAAGAUGAAUCUUGGCAGAGUAAGAGAGAGCUAGUUAAGCAGGCAGGUGUGAGCCUGGUUGCUAUAGUAACUGCACCCAAUGGCUCCAUACACACGUACACAGACAUGCGCCUCACUUUUGCUGCUUAAAAUGAACAGAAAAGUCAGGCCGAAACAAAUCGUUCCCAAAUGAAAAGUAAAAGUCGUAUUGACAAAAUUCUUUCACUGUGAGCGACAGCAAUGUCUAGUCUACCAAAUUCUCAGUUUUCAUGUCUGUGGAGUUUAUUAUAUGGACGUGGUGACAGUGGAAAGACACCAUGCUCUUCUGAUUUUCAAACGAACCUUCUGAGCCAUUUUAACAUUAGAGUCUAUGGAAGAGUUGGAGGGAGGAGGCUGUGCAUUGGUGACAUUUAUGAAAGAACCAUAAGACCUAGUACAAUAGUAAACACAUUGGAUGAAAGAGGACAGCCAUGGCUACGUUUUGAGGGUAAAAUCAUACCUGUAGAGCAAACGCUGCGGACACAGCAGCAGUUUUAAAAAAGAUUUUAAGAUUAAUUUUUUUGCUCCUCUCACUCUAGCAGUUGAGCUCUCUCACUCUAGCCCCAACAUUCCGUCCCAUACACACCCAUUAUAAACUCUGAAACGGGUGAAAAAACAUCAUGAAACUUAAACUGGAACUGAAGAAAAAGUAUAAUAGAUAUUGAAAAGAUAAAUACAAGUUGAAUAGUUGAAUGUCUUGUCUUCGUUUUAAAGUUUGAAUGGUGGCUCUAUGUCAAUGUAUGUGGAAGUAGAUACAGUUUAAAGAGGAGGAAGUUGAAUGAGAAUUUGAAGGGUCUCCCCAUUGAAAUACAUUAUAAAUUUUUGUUGAAAAAAGUUGAAUAAAAUUAAAAAUAUAAAUGUUAAAAAUGAGAAAAAUAGAAGCAAUGUUGUCCAAAAUAAUAGGAAUCUAACGGUGUUUGAAUGGUUUUUCUAAGUUGAACGGUUUUGAAGGAGUAGGCUUUCAAAAAACGUACGGAAAAAUAAAAUAUAACUAGAAAGUGCAUUUUCUGAAGAAACUGCAGUGUGAAUGCUUGAAUCUGAAUGUAUGCACUGAAAUGAAUUAAUUGCUGAAUUUUGAGUUAAAAAUUUUGAAUGAGAUAAAAAAAAAAAAAAACAAAUUUAACCUGAAAACAAAAGUGCUGAACUGCUAAAAGCUGAAGGUUACACAGAAGAAGAAGUUGGAAAAAAGCUGAAAAUGUUUUAAUUGUAAAUUAGAAAAACCUAAGAAAUGAGAAAAGAACAUUUAGAGUCAGAAAAC
ensembl:lncRNA